rnacentral:rRNA from 1 species
AAUCAACGCUGGCGGCGUGCCUCAGACAUGCAAGUCGAACGAUUAAGACUCCCUUCGGGGAGUGCAUAAAGUGGCGCACGGGUGAGUAACACGUAAGUAAUCUGCCUUCGAGUGGGGAAUAACAUCGGGAAACCGAUGCUAAUACCGCAUAACGCAGCGGCACCUAAUGGUGACAGUUGUUAAAGGAGCAAUUCGCUUGAAGAGGAGCUUGCGGCAGAUUAGCUAGUCGGUAAGGUAGUGGCUUACCAAGGCUACGAUCUGUAUCCGGUCUAAGAGGACGGUCGGACACACUGACACUGAAUAACGGGUCAGACUCCUACGGGAGGCAGCAGUCGGGAAUUUUGGGCAAUGGGCGAAAGCCUGACCCAGCAACGCCGCGUGAAGGAUGAAGUUUUUCGGAAUGUAAACUUCGAAAGAAUGGGAAGAAUAAAUGACGGUACCAUUUAUAAGGUCCGGCUAACUACGUGCCAGCCGCCGCGGUAAUAC